rnacentral:rRNA from 1 species
UGGGGAAUAUUGCACAAUGGGCGCAAGCCUGAUGCAGCCAUGCCGCGUGUAUGAAGAAGGCCUUCGGGUUGUAAAGUACUUUCAGCGGGGAGGAAGGCGAUAAGGUUAAUAACCUUGUCGAUUGACGUUACCCGCAGAAGAAGCACCGGCUAACUCCGUGCCAGCAGCCGCGGUAAUACGGAGGGUGCAAGCGUUAAUCGGAAUUACUGGGCGUAAAGCGCACGCAGGCGGUCUGUCAAGUCGGAUGUGAAAUCCCCGGGCUCAACCUGGGAACUGCAUUCGAAACUGGCAGGCUAGAGUCUUGUAGAGGGGGGUAGAAUUCCAGGUGUAGCGGUGAAAUGCGUAGAGAUCUGGAGGAAUACCGGUGGCGAAGGUGGCCCCCUGGACAAAGACUGACGCUCAGGUGCGAAAGCGUGGGGAGCAAACA